AUCGAUAUGGCGUAAGCGUCGCAGUGCUGUCAAGUCUGCUGUCAAAGACCGGAGCUUAACUCGGAAAGGCGGGGAAACUGAAGAGCUAGAGUGCGGUAGGGGUAGAGGGAAUUCCCAGUGUAGCGGUGAAAUGCGUAGAGAUUGGGAAGAACACCGGUGGCGAAAGCGCUCUACUAGGCCGCAACUGACACUCAGGGACGAAAGCUAGGGGAGCGAAUGGGAUUAGAUACCCCAGUAGUCCUAGCUGUAAACGAUGGGUACUAGGCGUAGCUUGUAUCGACCCGAGCUGUGCCGAAGCUAACGCGUUAAGUACCCCGCCUGGGGAGUACGCACGCAAGUGUGAAACUCAAAGGAAUUGACGGGGGCCCGCACAAGCGGUAGAGUAUGUGGUUUAAUUCGAUGUAACGCGAAGAACCUUACCAGGGCUUGACAUCCGGCGAAUUCUCUGGAAACAGAGAAGUGCCUACGGGAGCGCCGUGACAGGUGGUGCAUGGCUGUCGUCAGCUCGUGUCGUGAGAUGUUGGGUUAAGUCCCGCAACGAGCGCAACCCUCGUCCUUAGUUGCCAGCAUUAAGUUGGGCACUUUAGGGAGACUGCCGGUGACAAACCGGAGGAAGGUGGGGAUGACGUCAAGUCAGCAUGCCCCUUACGUCCUGGGCAACACACGUACUACAAUGGUCGAGACAAAGGGCAGCCAACUCGCAAGAGUGAGCGAAUCUCAGCAAACUCGGCCUCAGUUCAGAUCGCAGGCUGCAACUCGCCUGCCUGAAGGAGGAAUCGCUAGUAAUCGCUGGUCAGCAUACAGCGGUGAAUUCGUUCCCGGGCCUUGUACACACCGCCCGUCACACCAUGGAAGCUGGCCAAGCCCGAAGUCGUUACCCUAACCGUGCGCGGAGGGGGGCGCCGAAGGCUGGGCUGGUGACUGGGGUGAAGUCGUAACAAGGUAGCCAA
rnacentral:rRNA from 1 species